rnacentral:rRNA from 1 species
GACGAACGCUGGCGGCGCGCUUAACACAUGCAAGUCGAACGGAAAGGCCUGCUUUCCCUUGUGGAUUGCGGGUACUCGAGUGGGGAACGGGAGAGUAACACGUGAGUGAUCUGCCCCCAACUUGGGUAUAAGCCUGGGAAACUUGGUCUAAUUUCCGCUAGGACUGCAGGGUGGUGCCUGUGGUGGAAAACGAGUUUCUAGUGGUUGGGGAUGAGCUCGCGGCUUAUCAGCUAGUUGGUGGGGUAAUGGCCUACCAAGGCGGGGACGGGUAGCCGGCCUGGGAGGGGGGACGGCCACAUUGGGACUGGGAUACGGCCCAGACUCCUACGGGAGGAAGCAGGGGGGAAUAUUGCACAAUGGGGGGAAGCCUGAGGCGGCGACGCCGGGUGGGGGAUGACGGCCUUCGGGUUGUAAACUCCUUUGGACCGCGAGGAAGCCACCUGGUUGGAAGGGUGGUGACGGUAGUGGUAGAAGAAGCACCGGCUAACUACGUG